UACGUAGGGGGCAAGCGUUGUCCGGAAUCAUUGGGCGUAAAGAGCGUGUAGGCGGCCCGGUAAGUCCGCUGUGAAAGUCCAGGGCUCAACCCUGGGAUGCCGGUGGAUACUGUCGGGCUCGAGUCCGGAAGAGGAGUGUGGAAUUCCUGGUGUAGCGGUGAAAUGCGUAGAUAUCAGGAGGAACACCGGUGGCGAAGGCGGCUUUCUGGACAGUAACUGACGCUGAGGCGCGAAAGCUAGGGGAGCAAACAGG
rnacentral:rRNA from 1 species